GUGAAAGCCCCCGGCUUAACCGGGGAGGGUCAUUGGAAACUGGGGAACUUGAGUGCAGAAGAGGAGAGUGGAAUUCCACGUGUAGCGGUGAAAUGCGUAGAGAUGUGGAGGAACACCAGUGGCGAAGGCGACUCUCUGGUCUGUAACUGACGCUGAGGAGCGAAAGCGUGGGGAGCGAACAGGAUUAGAUACCCUGGUAGUCCACGCCGUAAACGAUGAGUGCUAAGUGUUAGGGGGUUUCCGCCCCUUAGUGCUGCAGCUAACGCAUUAAGCACUCCGCCUGGGGAGUACGGUCGCAAGACUGAAACUCAAAGGAAUUGACGGGGGCCCGCACAAGCGGUGGAGCAUGUGGUUUAAUUCGAAGCAACGCGAAGAACCUUACCAGGUCUUGACAUCCUCUGACAAUCCUAGAGAUAGGACGUCCCCUUCGGGGGCAGAGUGACAGGUGGUGCAUGGUUGUCGUCAGCUCGUGUCGUGAGAUGUUGGGUUAAGUCCCGCAACGAGCGCAACCCUUGAUCUUAGUUGCCAGCAUUCAGUUGGGCACUCUAAGGUGACUGCCGGUGACAAACCGGAGGAAGGUGGGGAUGACGUCAAAUCAUCAUGCCCCUUAUGACCUGGGCUACACACGUGCUACAAUGGACAGAACAAAGGGCAGCGAAACCGCGAGGUUAAGCCAAUCCCACAAAUCUGUUCUCAGUUCGGAUCGCAGUCUGCAACUCGACUGCGUGAAGCUGGAAUCGCUAGUAAU
rnacentral:rRNA from 1 species